ensembl:processed_transcript
AGUCAUCGCUCCAGUCUCAGCAGCACCGUUCUUUCCUUCAGAGCACCGUCCAGGCUGCCUUUGCCAUCACGGAGCCUGGGGAUUCUGAUGAGCCUGUGCUACAGGGACAACGGCCUGAGUCGGACCGUCGGAGAGAAAAUGGACAUUCACGGUAUGGCUUGGAGUCAGAGCAACUCCUGUGUCCCUGGAUGGUCUGUUGGAGGCAAAGGAGCGCCAUCAGGCACUGGACACGUACUUUAGGCACCUGAUCUCACAGAGGAGGGAAUGAGGCCUGGGAAGCACUGUUGAGCUCCAUUUGUGGUAAUGACACCAUUGAGGGAAAAUCACCCAAGAACUGCUCCUGAGGUCCCUAGCAGCCUCACCUCAGGCAGGCUGGUGAGCCUGGUGGUUUCUUCAGGAUUGAACUACAGCUGCUGGUUCGCGUGUGGUGUCUGCCUGCCCAGAGGACUGGACUGAAACUGCUGAUUCGUAUUUGAUGUUUGCUAUGGGUCUGAACUGCUGACAAAGAUUGAGCUCAUCCCCAAAGAGCUAUUGCUGAACAGGUCCACUUCCCCCACAUCCUAAUAACUUUCCUUUUCCACUGCCUCUGCUGGGUGCUGGGCUAGAGGAGAGAUUAAACGUAGGCUGCAAAAAAUGUAUGCCUACAUAUAUAUGCUGUGCUCUGGGUUACUCAGAAUGACUGAUCCAUGAGAGACACUGCAGGAUGAAUUUAGGCUUCUGGGGCAGCGGGAAGAUCAGCCCCUCAAGAACUGAACGCCUGUUGGGGGAUGCGGGCAUGCUUUUGUGCACUGGGUAUUUGCUGAUUUCUGUACCUGGGAAUCUGGGUAGAGUCUUGGUUUUGUCAUGGUCAUUAUUAUGAAGCAUUUUCUGAC